UCCCUGAUGGUCCAGUGGUUAGGAUUCCACGCCUCCAAUGCAGCAGACACAGGUUCAAUUCCUGGUCAGGGAA